rnacentral:rRNA from 1 species
GUGGGGAAUUUUGCGCAAUGGGGGAAACCCUGACGCAGCAACGCCGCGUGGAGGAUGAAGUAUCUUGGUACGUAAACUCCUUUCGAUGGGGAAGAUAAUGACGGUACCCAUAGAAGAAGCCCCGGCUAACUUCGUGCCAGCAGCCGCGGUAAUACGAGGGGGGCAAGCGUUGUUCGGAAUUAUUGGGCGUAAAGGGUGCGUAGGCGGUCUGAUAAGUCAUCUGUGAAAUCUAUGGGCUCAACCCAUAGUCUGCAGGCGAAACUGUCGGGCUUGAGUAUUGGAGAGGUGAGUGGAAUUUCCGGUGUAGCGGUGAAAUGCGUAGAUAUCGGAAGGAACACCUGUGGCGAAAGCGGCUCACUGGACAAUUACUGACGCUGAUGCACGAAAGCUAGGGGAGCAAACAGG